rnacentral:miRNA from 1 species
UGCAGCGGCGACUGGGGCCGA